rnacentral:rRNA from 1 species
CCUACCGAGCCGGGUGAUAGCUGGUUGCCUGCAAAACGAAUCUAAGUUCCCCCUUAACCCCUUUCCCCCCCGACAAACCCAACCCGAAUGUAAUAGUUAAGGGCUAUUUAAAGGGGGUACAGCCCCUUUAAAAAAGGACACAACCUCCACCAGCGGAUAACCCCCGUACAUCCAACCCGGUGGGCCUUAAAGCAGCCACCCCCAAAGAUUGCGUCAAAGCUCCAUCAACUAAAAACCCCCAAAACCAAUGCGACUCCCUACAUCCACAGCAGGCCAACCUAUAACAAUAGAUGAAUUAAUGCUAGAACGAGUAACCAGGACACCACGUCCCCCCAAGCGCUAGCCUACACACCAUUAACAGCAAAACCUCAAUAAUAACUACCCACCGUUGAACACACCCUGUCAACCCAACUCAGGAGCGCACACUGGAGUGAUCAAAGUCUACAAAAGGAACUCGGCAAACCUAAGGCCCGACUGUUUACCAAAAACAUAGCCUUCAGCCAAACAAGUAUUGAAGGUGAUGCCUGCCCGGUGACAUCAUGUUUAACGGCCGCGGUAUCCUAACCGUGCAAAGGUAGCGCAAUCAAUUGUCCCAUAAAUCGAGACCUGUAUGAAUGGCUAAACGAGGCCUUAGCUGUCUCCUGUAGACAAUCGGUGAAACUGAUCUCUCUGUACAAAAGCAGAGAUAAGCACAUAAGACGAGAAGACCCUGUGGAACUUUAAAAAUCAAUAGCCACCCCACCCAACUCACUAGCCUACCUGGGCCCACCACCUAAGACACUGGCUAACAUUUUUAGGU